rnacentral:lncRNA from 1 species
GAUGCUCUGAGACACUUCUUUUCAUAGGAGGCUUUCUGGAAAGCUGGAGAUGCUCAGACGACCGGAGACGUCCCAGCUGUGCUCUGCCGAGCAGUGCGUCCAGCUGCAGCCUCCGGGCGUCCCGCGCUGGUCCUCCCGGCCCUCACCCCACUGUCCUCGGGCUCGUCUGUGCAGCCUAGUCACUGUUUAAGUCCACUUCCUCGCUUUUUGUGGCUUAUCCACCUCAGACUCUGGUCUAUCCUUCUAGACAAACUCCUCCGAGAUGCCGGACAGCCGGCCUCCGAGGUUGCCCUACUUGAACCCAGUCUCCAGAUUGCUUUCAGAUCUGUCCAUUAGACAGCUGGCCUUUGACUGUGCUCGCGAAGCCUCAAGAGCUCCUCGAUGUCUUUUAGGGGCAACCUCCAGGUUAAACCCACUCGCGUCUACGAUCUAUUCUGUGAUCGCCCGCGCCGCCCCCUCCAGCGGCAGAGUAACUGCAAAGCUGAGGGACAAAGGCCAAGGAGGGACCGGAGACCGGGGUGGGCGCGUCACACUCCAGCGAGGAUGUGGGCCACACCGACAGCUGAGCCUGGUCUCUCCUGACGUGAGACCCAGAGGGAGCACAGGCAUCGAGCGUUUGCUCCCGGUGCCAGAUAGAUGGUUCCCCCUGGUAGACCAGAUGAUCACUUGGCCCUUUCUGGGGCCCUGGUCUGAGUCCGGAACAGAGAGCCUGUGGAGUCCAAGUGCAGGCCCCAGGGUGCACCAGGACUGGGCAGAGACAAGAACCCCACCACCGAGGUCUCUGCAGCCUGGGUGGCCCGUCGCCGCGUCGCACUGGCAGGCCCACACCUGUCCUUUCCGAGGCUCCGGUUCUCGGUCUCUGUGGACGUGCACCCCAGGGUCUGGAGUUCGGAGGACUCGGGAGUGGCCCCUCUCUGGAGCAGAGAGGCAGCUGGGCAGCCGCGGGCCGAGCAGACCCAGCCCCCCACUCGCAGGCCUGUGCCCGAGGCUGCGGUCCCGCAUCUCAGCUGGACGGGGGCCGCGGCGCCAGCAUGCAGCUGAUUCCAGCUGCCCUUCAGCAUCCUCCCAGCCCAGGCGGGUGCACCACGAGCACUCCAAGAGGGGCAAGCAGAAGCUUGAGCCCCGUGAACCCACCUGGCCCAGAGGUCAUAGAGAGUCACUUGUGUAGGAUACACGACUCCGGAAACAAGAGCAAACCUAUGAGUCCGGGUUCUCCAGAGAAGACAAUUCAUGUAAA